rnacentral:tRNA from 1 species
CGGCCGUGGCCGAGGCGGCGGCCCGGCUGGCGCUGCGGUCCCCGCCCGGCGCCGUGCACCUGGCGUUCGACCCGACGACGGCCGGC